rnacentral:rRNA from 1 species
AUGAACGCUGGCGGCGUGCUUAACACAUGCAAGUCGAACGAAGCACUUUAUUUGAUUUCCUUCGGGAUUGAUUAUUUUGUGACUGAGUGGCGGACGGGUGAGUAACGCGUGGGUAACCUGCCUUGUACAGGGGGAUAACAGUUGGAAACGGCUGCUAAUACCGCAUAAGCGCACAGCAUCGCAUGAUGCAGUGUGAAAAACUCCGGUGGUAUAAGAUGGACCCGCGUUGGAUUAGCUAGUUGGUGAGGUAACGGCCCACCAAGGCGACGAUCCAUAGCCGACCUGAGAGGGUGACCGGCCACAUUGGGACUGAGACACGGCCCAAACUCCUACGGGAGGCAGCAGUGGGGAAUAUUGCACAAUGGGCGAAAGCCUGAUGCAGCGACGCCGCGUGAGCGAAGAAGUAUUUCGGUAUGUAAAGCUCUAUCAGCAGGGAAGAUAAUGACGGUACCUGACUAAGAAGCACCGGCUAAAUACGUGCCAGCAGCCGCGGUAAUACGUAUGGUGCAAGCGUUAUCCGGAUUUACUGGGUGUAAAGGGAGCGCAGGCGGUGCGGCAAGUCUGAUGUGAAAGCCCGGGGCUCAACCCCGGUACUGCAUUGGAAACUGUCGUACUAGAGUGUCGGAGGGGUAAGCGGAAUUCCUAGUGUAGCGGUGAAAUGCGUAGAUAUUAGGAGGAACACCAGUGGCGAAGGCGACUCUCUGGUCUGUAACUGACGCUGAGGAGCGAAAGCGUGGGGAGCGAACAGGAUUAGAUACCCUGGUAGUCCACGCCGUAAACGAUGAGUGCUAAGUGUUAGGGGGUUUCCGCCCCUUAGUGCUGCAGCUAACGCAUUAAGCACUCCGCCUGGGGAGUACGGUCGCAAGACUGAAACUCAAAGGAAUUGACGGGGACCCGCACAAGCGGUGGAGCAUGUGGUUUAAUUCGAAGCAACGCGAAGAACCUUACCAAGUCUUGACAUCCUUCUGACCGGUACUUAACCGUACCUUCUCUUCGGAGCAGGAGUGACAGGUGGUGCAUGGUUGUCGUCAGCUCGUGUCGUGAGAUGUUGGGUUAAGUCCCGCAACGAGCGCAACCCUUAUCUUUAGUAGCCAGCGGUCAGGCCGGGCACUCUAGAGAGACUGCCAGGGAUAACCUGGAGGAAGGCGGGGAUGACGUCAAAUCAUCAUGCCCCUUAUGACUUGGGCUACACACGUGCUACAAUGGCGUAAACAAAGGGAAGCGAAGCUGUGAAGCCGAGCAAAUCUCAAAAAUAACGUCUCAGUUCGGACUGUAGUCUGCAACCCGACUACACGAAGCUGGAAUCGCUAGUAAUCGCAGAUCAGAAUGCUGCGGUGAAUACGUUCCCGGGUCUUGUACACACCGCCCGUCACACCAUGGGAGUUGGGAAUGCCCGAAGCCAGUGACCUAACCGAAAGGAAGGAGCUGUCGAAGGCAGGCUCGAUAACUGGGGUG